rnacentral:rRNA from 1 species
UGGGGAAUUUUGGACAAUGGGCGAAAGCCUGAUCCAGCAAUGCCGCGUGUGUGAAGAAGGCCUUCGGGUUGUAAAGCACUUUUGUCCGGAAAGAAAUCCUUGGCUCUAAUACAGUCGGGGGAUGACGGUACCGGAAGAAUAAGCACCGGCUAACUACGUGCCAGCAGCCGCGGUAAUACGUAGGGUGCAAGCGUUAAUCGGAAUUACUGGGCGUAAAGCGUGCGCAGGCGGUUUGCUAAGACCGAUGUGAAAUCCCCGGGCUCAACCUGGGAACUGCAUUGGUGACUGGCAGGCUAGAGUAUGGCAGAGGGGGGUAGAAUUCCACGUGUAGCAGUGAAAUGCGUAGAGAUGUGGAGGAAUACCGAUGGCGAAGGCAGCCCCCUGGGCCAAUACUGGCGCUCAUGCACGAAAGCGUGGGGAGCAAAACAGGAUUAGAUACCCUGGUAGUCCACGCCCUAAACGAUGUCAACUAGUUGUUGGGGAUUCAUUUCCUUAGUAACGUAGCUAACGCGUGAAGUUGACCGCCUGGGGAGUACGGUCGCAAGAUUAAAACUCAAAGGAAUUGAC